CUUGGUCAUUUAGAGGAAGUAAAAGUCGUAACAAGGUCUCCGUUGGUGAACCAGCGGAGGGAUCAUUACGAAUGGGUCCAAAAGACUCUUAAAACCUACCGUGCUCCCCUACGUGGACAACAGGAAAGCCCUCCGGGGCAUAGGAAAUCUGAGAAGUUGAAGAACUGCGCCCCGGCGCAUGACUUAUGACAAAAAUUACAACCCAUAACAAUGGAUCUCUUGGCUCUGGCAUCGAUGAAGAACGCAGCGGAAUGCGAUAAGUAAUGUGAAUUGCAGAAUUCAGUGAAUCAUCGAAUCUUUGAACGCACAUUGCGCCCCUUGGUAUUCCGAGGGGCAUGCCUGUUCGAGCGUCAUUACAACCCUCAAGCACUGCUUGGUAUUGGGCCCCGCUGCUAACGCUGCGGGCCUUAAAAUCAGUGGCGGCGCCGCUGGGCUCUGAGCGUAGUAAAUUUCCUCGCUACGGAGUCCUGGCGGCGGUGGUCAUUAACCCCCCAACUUUCUUAAGUUUGACCUCGGAUCAGGUAGGGAUACCCGCUGAACUUAAGCAUAUCAAUAAGCGGAGGA
rnacentral:rRNA from 1 species